rnacentral:rRNA from 1 species
UUAAGUUUUUUUUAAUUUAAAUUAUAACAUUUUUAUUUUGAAUAAAGAUAUAAUUUUUAUAAUAAUGUUAUAAAAUGUUUAGUACUGUAAAGGAAAUUUAAAUUUUGAAAAUAAGACUGAAGUGUACCUUUUGUAUUAGGGGCUUGUAAUAAAAUUAAAUAAUUUUGUAAUAACUCGAAAAAGAAUAAGAUUUACUUAAUUUUAAUUAGUUUGUUUAAAUAUAUAAAAUUAUAAGAUUAAAGGUAUUAAAUGUGAUUUAUGUUUUUUAUAUUUAGUUUUAUUUUUCUCUAUUUUAGGUAGUUAUUAAAUUUAUUAAAAUAUAUUAUAAAAUUUUUAGUAUUAUUUUAUUAGAGAUAAUUUUAAUAAUUUUUAUAUGUAUAUUAUUUUAUUUAUUAAGAUUUAUACUAUUUUUGUUAGCUGUUAUAAGGAUUAAUUUAAAUAAAAUUUUAUAUUAAAUAAUUAUUUAAUUUUUAUAAAUUAAUAAUUUUAAAUUAAUUAAAAAAAUUUUAUAAUUAGUAUAAUUAUAUUAUUAAAAUUUAUGAAUUCGACAAAAUUUAUUUUCAACUGUUUAUUAAAAACAUUUUUUUUAGUUUUUGUUAAAAAUAGGCUCUGCUCAAUGAUUUAAUUAAAUUGCUGGAGUAUUUUGACUCUGCUAAGGUAUUGAAAUAAGAUUUUAAUUGAGUGCUAAGAGAAUGGGUAUAUGAGAAUUAUUUUUAUUAUAUUUAAUAAUAGAAUUUCAUUUAAAAAUGAGAAAGUUUUUAUGUGAUUAUGGGACAAGAAGACCCUAUGAAUUUUAAAUUAUAGAAUAUUGUAUAUUAUUUAUAUUAUUUUAAUUUAUUUUGAUUGGGGCGAUAGAAAAAUAUUAAAAAACUUUAUUUAUGUGGUGUUUUAUAAGUAAUUAUAAAAAUACUCUAGGGAUAACAGCGUAAUUAUUGUGGAUAGUUCAAAUUGGUAUAAUAGUUUGCGACCUCGAUGUUGAAUUAAUAAACCUAAUUGUUGGAGAGAAUAAUAAAGGAGGAUUGUUCAUCCUUUAAAGUACUACGUGAUUUGAGUUUAGACCGCCGUAAGGCAGGUCAGUUUUUAUCUAUAUUAUUAUUUAAAUUAUUUUAGUACGAAAGGAUUUUUUAAUUUUAAAAUUUAGUUUUGAUAAGACACUAAAGUUAUUAAAUUGUGAAAAUAAAAAUUAAGUAUAAAAAAUA